GAUGAGCGCUGGCGGCGUGCUUAACACAUGCAAGUCGAACGGAAAGGCUCCUGCUUGCAGGGGUACUCGAGUGGCGAACGGGUGAGUAACACGUGGGUGAUCUGCCCUGCACUUCGGGAUAAGCCUGGGAAACUGGGUCUAAUACCGGAUAGGACCACAUGAUGGAUGGUGUGGUUGAAAGUUUUUCGGUGUGGGAUGAGCUCGCGGCCUAUCAGCUUGUUGGUGGGGUAAUGGCCUACCAAGGCGUCGACGGGGAGCCGGCCUGAGAGGGUGUACGGCCACAUUGGAACUGAGAUACAGCCCAGACUCCUACGGGAGGCAGCAGUGGGGAAUAUUGCACAAUGGGCGCAAGCCUGAUGCAGCGACGCCGCGUGGGGGAUGACGGCCUUCGGGUUGUAGACUCCUUUCGCUAGGGACGAAGCGUUUUUGUGACGGUACCUGGAGAAGAAGCACCGGCUAACUACGUG
rnacentral:rRNA from 1 species